AUUGUAAAUUCCAUACCAAUCAUCUGGUAUCUUAAAAAUCCUAGCAGAUGCAAUAAAAUCCUAAUUGACAAGUACCUAAGUACUAUUUUCUUCAUAUCUCACAAACCCAAAAUCCAAAUGUCACAAAUCUUAUGUAUAAAAUUUAGUAACAUAAAAAUAUACAUUCUUAGAAAUUUUUAGUCAAAAUUGUAUCAAAUUGUAGAAGAUAUAGCUCAAAAUACAACUACUAGUAAUUCGGGUCACUUACAACUCUUUAGAUUCCAAAUUCUGACUUCAACUUCCAAUAACUCCUUCAUUUAAGCUCAAAUUCAUGAAGCAAUAUACGCAAAGUUUAGCCAAGAAAGCAUUCUUUUUAAUCCUAAUCACUGAUUCUUUUUUAUUUUUUGUAUGCAUGCAUUAUAUCCAAAAGAGUGACAAUAGGUACAUAAUCAA
rnacentral:lncRNA from 1 species